rnacentral:lncRNA from 1 species
AGUUUGUUAAAUAUGUUUUAAUACUAAUUACUGUACACUUUGUGUAAUACUUAUAACUGUGGCUGGAAAAUUGUUAAUUUUAUAUUAUAAUUUCAUUGCUUAUACAUUCAAACUAUUUGAUUAGUUAUUUAAAUGUUAACUCUUUAGAGAAGUAGGCUUAACAAUAGUAAUAAACUAAAUAGUAUACUGUAUAGUAUUCUAUUUCUAGUAAUGAUUAACUUUGUAAAUCGCAAUAUAUUGCCGUUGUAAUACAUUACGAGACGAUAUUGUGUUUAUAUUUUGAGAAUUCAUUGAUUAUACACAAAGGAAAAGAAAAUACUUAAUAAUUUUAGUCAUUGCAAAUUCCAUUGUGAGUUUGAGUAUAAGUAUAACUUAAGUUACGACAGUGAAUAACAGUAACACUAACAAUAUACUUUUUUUUUAACUUUUACUCUGUUUUAGGCAUUGAAAUCUGUUAUUCAUGUAAGGUGUAAGAUAAUCAUGAAGGACUAUAAACUAAAAUCUAUAUUCAUAGUAGCGAGACUGUAAGUUGUAACACUCAAUAUUGCAACUAAACAUUAAGUCGUAAUGAAUCAUUAAAUGAUUAAUGUUUAUUACAACUUAUAAGUGUUAGUAAUAUCGAGCUUACUCGGUUUUGUAAGGCCUAACUAAAAAGCUGUUACUGUUAGUUGUAUGUAAGUUUAAGUGUGGUUUUAGGCUUAAUUUUCUGUUCUACAUAUAUUAAUUAUAGAUUAGUGUAUUCAGAAAAGCGAUUUUUAAGUUACUGUCAACUGUAAAAAAAAAAAAUACUGUUGCUGGUCAACUGGUAAGUUAGCAUGCUACUCUUACUAAUACUUUGAGUUUGAGUAGGACUGCUGCAGUGCUAGUACUAAUAGAAAUUAGUAUGGCAUACCUAUGAAGUAAUAAAUUUUCUUUGGUGGAAUUUGGUGUAGUCUUAAGUGUAAGUCCUAAAAGAGGGUUAAAAUUCAACUGCAAAUAAUGAAGAAAUGAAAACUUAUCUUAGGUAAAAAAGUUAUUUAGAUUUCUUAUUUUUUGAGGCAGGUACGAGGUCGAUCAAAUUGACCAAGCCUGUAUAGUAAUGGUAGAGAAAAUAACCAGUAUAAAGUUUCACAGAAAAAAAACAACUAAUGUUUAUUUAGGAGGUUCUUUAGGUUAGGCAACUGCUAAAAAGUGGUUUAAUCUUAAGAUGAAAAUUGCCUUGCAUUCACAAUAGUUUGAGUCAGACUGACUAUAUAAAUUCAUAGAUAAAUCUUUGUUUAAUAUACUUAAUGAAAAAAUUGGAUAUUUUGUGUACAAGAUACUUGAAAUGUUUACUAAAAGCCUGCCAAAUUUUCUGAAGAUCCACUUACUGCAUUAAAAGUUACAGUAUUUAUACUUCCAUGGUUACCUAUUUGUUACAUGGUUGUCACAAGGUUAAAAUGACUAACGCUGUAUCGAUAGAGUUAAAGCAUUUUAUUUUAUUUUUUACGUCAUAUUCUCGAGUAGAGUGAAUGAGUUAUGGAAAGAGUUGCUGUUGGCGGUAGUUGAGGCACAUACUGUACAGGAGUUUACUUGGGCAACCUUGAAGGACCAAAUGGCCCAUUGCUGUCUUGGAUUCUUGGUUGCAAUCUGAGAAACUGACAACUUUCCACGGAACCAGAAUGUGGAAAGAAACAAAGGAAUCGGGCAGGCCCAUGUGUCCAGUGUGUCACAAGUCAUUUUUUGACACCAGCAAUCUCAGACGACACAUGGAGAUCCACAACCCUUAUCGGAAGUCGCACGUUUGUGUCGUUUGUAGGAAAACUUUUGCGUGGAAGACCCAUUUAGCCACUCACACAAAGAACGAGCACCCCGAUAUUCAGUAGUGUGGAUCUUAUGAAGAGUUAUUAAUUAGGUUUUAAACCUGAAAUUUUGUAGCUAUAUAUAUACGUUUCAAUAAAAACUUAACUUUUCUGACCACA